rnacentral:rRNA from 1 species
GCCUGUUUUUACAAAAACAUCGCCUCUUGCAAACACCAAAGUAUUAGAGGUCCCGCCUGCCCUGUGACUUAGUUUAACGGCCGCGGUAUUUUGACCGUGCGAAGGUAGCGUAAUCACUUGUCUUUUAAAUGAAGACCGGUAUGAAUGGCAUCACGAGGGCUCACCUGUCUCCUUUUUCCAGUCAAUGAAAUUGAUCUGCCCGUGCAGAAGCGGACAUACGAACAUAAGACGAGAAGACCCUAUGGAGCUUAAAACACAAGACCAACCACGCCAGUAACCCCAUUGCUCGAAAGACAUAAAAAAUACUAAAGCACAGUGGUCUCUGGUCCUAAUGUUUUCGGUUGGGGCGACCACGGAGAAAAAUAAAACCUCCACGUCGAUUGGAGACAACCUCUAAAACCAAGAGCAACAACUCUAAGUAACAGAAAAUCUGACGAUAAAUGAUCCAGACCUGUCUGAUCAACGAACCAAGUUACCCUAGGGAUAACAGCGCAAUCCUUUCCCAGAGUCCCUAUCGACGAAAGGGUUUACGACCUCGAUGUUGGAUCAGGACAUCCUAAUGGUGCAGCAGCUAUUAAGGGUUCGUUUGUUCAACGAUUAAAGUCCUACGUGA